GUGAAGUUGAUCACAAACAAACAUAUACCCCUUUGUUUGACCGUGAAAAAUUUCUCCCAUCCCCUUUGUUCGUAAGGAAAAGCCCUUAUCACUAGUUGAUAAGGGCUUUUU
rnacentral:sRNA from 1 species